rnacentral:lncRNA from 1 species
CUUCUGCCAAGCAGAGCAGCACAGCUGCAAGACACCCUGCUUCUGGCUCUGAGCUUUGCUUGUCUUCAGGGAUGGAGCCCCUCCCAAGGCAAGUUCAACUGGGUUCUUUGGCAGCCGAAGUCUACACGGACCCUGCAGGGAGCGGUGGAGAAAACACCUUUUUCUUCCUUCCAUGAUAUAGAUAUAUUGAUCAUGAGGAGAGGGCUCACCCCUCACCCGGAGAAGUAGUUGGGGAAGCAAUAUGCGGAAACAAAGCCAUGAAUCUGACAAGAAAUGUACUUAAGAUUGUAUAUAUGGAGAUGAAUACCCAUUGUCCUUUGCACUUUCUGGAUGAUAAAUUAGAAAAGAAAAAUCCAAAGAAUGAAGUUGUGCUAUUUGUCCUCACUUCUGAUUUGGGAAACUAGAGGAAAUUAAGAUGGGAAAAGACCAUGUGAGGACACAGUGAGAAGGAGACCAUAUGCAAAGCAGGAAGGAAGAUCUCACUGGAACCAAAAACCAGCCCUGCUGGCACCCUGAUCUUGGACUUCUAGCCUUUCUCAGAACUGUGAGAAAAUAAAUUUCUGAUGUUUCAGCCACUCAGCCUGUGGUCGUUCGUUAUGCAACCCUAGCAGACAAACAGGGACCUAGCUUAAGAACUGGUUAAAAAUGAGGCCAGUGAGGAAUUUGAUACUCUAUGGUUGGGAAAGUUUGAUUUAUUCUAAGUGCAAUGGAAUGGAGCUGGGGAUAUAAAUUUUGGAUUUACUGGCAGGUGAAACAUAUUUUAAAAUAGACUAAAAUUAAAUUUCCUAAGGACAGAAUGUAGACAGAAAAGAAUCAAGGUUUUAUGACCAAGAUCCAAGUCACUCCAAUAUUUAGAGUUCUCCCAAGCAUUUAAAGAAGGCUUACACUGAUUCUAUGUAGCAUCUUCCAAAAAAUAGAAAUUUUUCACGGCAUCUUUCCAAGUCAUUAUAUGAGGCCAAAAUUACCUUGAUAUUUUAACCAAAGACAGUACGAGAGAAAAAGCUAUAGAUCAAUAUCUCACAUGAACUUAGACAUAACAUUUCUAAACAAAAUAUUAGCAACUUGAAUCCAGAAAUAUGUAAAAAAGAAUUAUGCAACAUAGCCAAGUGGGAUCUAUUCCAGGUAUGCAAUGCUUUUAAAUGUUUGAAAAAAAGUCAAUAUAAUCUACCAUAUUAACAGGCUAAUCACAUGAUCAUAUCAGUUGAUGAAGAUCAAAUCUAUGACAAAAUUUAACACCUAUUUAUAAUUUUAAAGAACCUCUCUAAAAAUAAAAAAUAGAAGGAAAUAUCCUCAAAUUGAUAAAGAUCAUUUACAGAAAACACAAAAGCUAGCAUUACACUUAAUGGUGAGAAUCUGAAUUAGUUCCCCCUAAGAUCAGGACCAGGCAAAGAUGUUUGCUAUCAUCACUCUCAUUCCAUAUAGUGCUGGAAGUUCUCACUGGUGCAAUAAGGCACACAGUGGAAAUAAAGACACUGAAAUUUGUGUUAGUUAAUUUUGUGUUGCUAUAACGGAAUGCCACAGAAUGGAUAAUUUAUUAAGAAAAUUGUUUAUUUCUUACAGUUUUGGAGGCUCAGAAGUUCAAGGUGCAGGGGCCCACAUCUGGUGAGGGCCUUCUUGCUGUAUCAUCCCAUGGCAGAAGGCAAAAGGGCAAGAGUACAAGAUAGAAAGAGAAAGAGGGAUGGGGGAAGGUUGAUAUGAGGGAGCCAAACUCAUCCUUUUUAUCCAGAGUCCACUCCUGAGAUAAUUAAGUCACUUCCGCAAUACAUCAUUAAUCCAUUCAGAGCCCUCAUGACCUAAUCACCUUUUAAAGGUUCCACUUAACGCUGUUGCACUGGGGAUUAAGUUUCCAAUACAAAAACUUUGGGGGAUGCAUUCAAACUAUAGCCAGUUUGAAUGGAAAAAAAUUUAACUGUUUCUAUUUCAAAUGACCUAAUUGUAUACAUAGAAAAUUCCAGGCAAUCUUUUAAAAACUCCCAGAACUAAUGUAUAAGUUUAGCAAGAUCAUAGGAUCCAAGACCAACACACAAAAAUCAAUCAUAUUUUUAUACGCUAGCAAUGAAUAUGUGGAAAACACAAUUAAGAAUACAAGACUAUUUACAAUUAUUUCAAAAAAGAGAGAAAUAAUUAGAUACAAAUCUAAUGUACACAUAGGUCCUCUAUGCCAAAAAUGACAGAACCCAAAGGAACAAAUGCAAAGGACCUUUAAAUAAAUGGAGAGAUGACUUUGUAAUGGAUAGAAAGAUUCAACAUAAUAAAGAUGUCAAUUCUCUCCAACUUCAUCAACAGGGGCAAUUCAAUUCAUAUCAAAAUUCCAAAAAAAUUUUUUUGCAGAUAUAGUAAAAUUUAUUUUAAAAUUUAUAUCUCAAGGCACAGGCCAUGGACUAAGUAAAAUUAUUUUGAAAUUGAAUAAAGUUGGGUAGAUUAUUAUAUCCAAUGUUAAGACUUAAUAUAUGGCUACAAUAAUCAAGAGAGUGUGAUAUUGGUUGGGGGAAUAGACUCAUAGAUCAAUGGAACAGAAGAGAUAACCCGAAACUAAACAACACAAAUAUGCCCAGCUGAUUUUUGCAAAGGUUAUAAAAGCGGUUCAGUGGAAGAACAGUUCUUUCAACAGAUGAUGUUAAAGCAAUUAGAUGUCCAAGGGCAAAUAAUUGAGUCUCAACCUAAACCUAAUACUUCAUUCAAAAAUUAAUUCAAAGUGUAUUAUAGAUUUAAAUAUAAAUGUAAAACUAAAAAACUUUAGCAUAAAACAAAGAAAAAUUUUAGGAAGUAGGGCUAGAUGAGAAGAUCUUAGAUAUGACACCAAAAGCACAACUCAUAAGAGAAUAUAAUUACUCUAUUGGACUUCAUAAAAAUUAAAAACUUUUGCUCUGUGAAAGACUACAUUUAGAGAAUGAAAAGUUAAUCUAAAGUUAAUCUACAGACUAGAGGAAAAUAUUUGCAAAUCACAAGAUUCAACAUAGGGCUUCUACUUAGAAUAUAUAAAGAGCUCUCAAGCUGAACAUUAAAAGAAAAAUAAGCAGGCUGGUCUGAAGAUAGCGAAGUAUCUCAACUGAUUGUUCACAGUUCGUUAAGGAUCUUACUCUUUGUUCUACAAUUCCCCCCUUCUCACUACUGCACUUGACUAAUAAAAAAGCAAUUAAAUUAGAAAAUUUAUAAACAAAAUUAACAAAAGAUUUUUAACUGGGGAGAGAUGAUAUCUCAUUUUAGUUUUGAUUUGCUUUUCUCUGAUAAUCAAUGAUGUUGAAUGCGUUUUCACAUGCCUGUUUGACAUUUGUAUGUCUUCUUUUGGGCAACGUCUAUUCAAAUCUUUUGCCCAUUUUUUAAAUCAAAUUAUUAGAUUUUUUCCUGUAAAAUUGUUUGAGCUCCUUAUAUAUUCUAAUUAUUAAUCCCUCAUCAGGUGGGUAGUUUGCAAAUAAUUUCUCCCACUCUGCACAUUGUCUCUUCACUUUGUUUAUUGUUCCCUUCAUUCUGCAGAAGCUUUUAAACUUGAUUUGACCCCACUUGUCCAUAUCCAAAAGACAGGCAAUAACAAAUGCUGGUGAGGAUGUGGAGAAAAGUGAAUGCUUGUACACUGUUUGUGGGAAUAUAAAUUAGUAUAACCACUCUGAAGAAUAGUUUGGAGGUUCCUCGAAAAAUUAAAAAUAGAGCUACCAUAUGAUCCAGCAAUACCAUUCCUAGGUAUAUGACCAAUAGAAGGGAAAUCAAUAUAUUGAAGAGAUACCUGCACUCCCAUGUUAGCUGAAACACCGUUCAUAAUAGCCAAGAUUUGGAAGCAAUCUAAGUGUCCAUCAAUAGAUGAAUGGAUAAAGAAAGUGUGGUACUUAUACACAAUGGAGAAUUAUUUAGCCACGGAAAAGCAUGAGAUCCUGUCAUUUGCAACAACAUGGAUGGAACCGGAGAUCAUUAUGUUAAGUGAAAUAAGCCAGGCACAGAAAGACAAAGAUCACAUGUUCUCACUUAUUUGUGGGAGCUAAAAUUUAAAACGAUUGAACUCGUAUACAUAGAGUGUAGAGGAUGGUUACCAGAGGCUGGGAAGGGUAGUUGGGGUUGAUAGGGAAGAUGAAAAUAGCUAAUGGGUUAAAAAAAAUGAAAGAAUGAAUAAUACCUGGUAGUUGAUAGCAAAACAGGGUUACUAUAGUCAAAAUAAUUUAAUUGUAUAUUUUCAAAUAACUAAAAGAAUGUAAUUGGAUUGUUUGUAACACAAAGGAUAAAUGCUUAAGGAGAUGAAUACCCCAUUUACCCUGAUGUGAUUAUUAUAUGCAUUGCAUACCUGUCAUCUGGAUGUCCAAGCAGAAGUUUGCUGCAGAGGUGGGGCCUCAUGAAGAACCUCUGCUAGGGCAGUGUGGAAGAGAAAUGUGGGGUUGGAUGCCCCAGAGUCCCCACUGGGGCACUGCCUAGUAGAGCUGUGAGAAGAGAGCCACCAUCCUCCAUACUCCAGAACGAUAGAUCCACCAACAGCUUGCACUAUGCGCCUGGAAAAGCUGCAGACAUUCAACACUAGCCCCUGAAAGCAGCCAGGAUGGGGGCUGUAUCCUGCAAAGCCACAGGGGAGGAGCUGCCCGAGGCUGUGGGAGCUCACCUCUUGUAUCAGCAUGACCUGGAUAUGAGACAUGAAGUCAAAGGAGAUCAUUUUGGAGCUUUAAGAUUUAAUGAUUGCCCCUUGGGAUUACAGACUUGCAUGGAGUCUUAGCCCUUUUGUUUUGGCCAAUUCCUCCCAUUUGGAACAGGUAUAUUUACCCACUGCCUGUACCCCCAUUAUAUCUAGGAAGUAACUCACUUGCUUUUGAUUUUACAGACUCAUAAGUGGAAGGGACUUGCUUUGUCUCUGAUGAUACUUUGGACUGUGAACUUUUGAGUUAAUACUGAAAUGAGUUAAGACUUUGGGGGACUGUUGGGAAGGCAUGAUUGCUUUUGAAAUGUGAGAACAUGAGAUUUGGGAGGGGCCAGGGGCUGAAUGAUAUGGUUUGGUUGUGUCCCCACCCAAAUCUCACCUUAAAUUGUAAUAAUCCCCAUGUGUCAAGGGUGGGGCCAGGUGGAGAUAACUGGAUCAUGGGGGCGGUUUUCCCCAUACUGUUCUCAUGGUAGUGAAUAAGUCUUACGAGUCUGAUGGUUUUAUAAAUAAGACUUCCCCAUACAAGCUCUCUUUUGCCUGCCACCAUGUAAGAUGUGACUUUACUCCUCAUUUGCCUUCCGCUAUGAUUAUGAGGGCUCCCUAGCUAUGUGGACCUGUGAGUCCAUUAAACCUCUUUCCUUAAUAAAUUACCCAGUCUUGGGUGUGUCUUUAUUAGCAGUGUUUGAACAGACAAAUAUACAA